CACGUAGGGCGCAAGCGUUGUCCGGAAUUAUUGGGCGUAAAGAGCUCGUAGGCGGUCUGUUGCGUCCGCUGUGAAAACUCGGGGCUUAACCCCGAGCCUGCAGUGGAUACGGGCAGACUAGAGGUAGGUAGGGGAGAAUGGAAUUCCCGGUGUAGCGGUGAAAUGCGCAGAUAUCGGGAAGAACACCCGUGGCGAAGGCGGUUCUCUGGGACGGUACUGACGCUGAGACGCGAAAGCGUGGGGAGCGAACAGGAU
rnacentral:rRNA from 1 species